rnacentral:rRNA from 1 species
UUGACCUCAAAUCGGGUGAGACUACCCGCUGAACUUAAGCAUAUCAAUAAGCGGAGGAAAGAACUACAAGGAUCCCUAGUAACUGCGAGU